AGGUAAGCUUGUAAGAGCAAAUGGUGGAUGCCUUGCCUAGUAGAGGCGAUGAAAGACGUGCCAGGCUGCGAUAAGCCUCGGGGAGCUGUCAAGGAGCUUUGAUCCGGGGAUUUCUGAAUGGGGCAACCCAAAUAACAGUGAUGUUAUUUACCAUAUGGAGCUAACUAGGGGAACUGAAACAUCUAAGUACCCUAAGGAAAAGAAAUCAAUAGAGAUUACGCUAGUAGCGGCGAGCGAACGCGUAAGAGGGCAAACCACUAGCUUGCUAGUGGGGUUGUAGGACUGCAAUGUGGACUAAAAUCGGUUAAUAGAAUAAACUGGAAAGUUUAGGCAUAGAGGGUGAUACCCCCGUAUAUGAAAACCUAUUUUUACCUAGCAGUAUCCUGAGUAGGACGGGACACGUGAAAUCCUGUUUGAAGCUGGGUCGACCACGAUCCAACCCUAAAUACUACUACUAGAGCGAUAGCGAACAAGUACCGUGAGGGAAAGGUGAAAAGAACCGCGGUGAGCGGAGUGAAAUAGAACCUGAAACCAUUUGCUUACAAUCAUUCAGAGCACUAUGAUUUAUCAGUGUGAUGGACUGCCUUUUGCAUAAUGAGCCUGCGAGUUGUGGUAUCUGGCAAGGUUAAGGAAACCCGGAGCCGUAGCGAAAGCGAGUCUUAAUAGGGCGCUAAGUCAGAUGCUGCAGACCCGAAACGAUGUGAUCUAUCCAUGAGCAGGUUGAAACCGGUGUAAGAGCCGGUGGAGGACCGAACAGACGGCUGUUGAAAAAGCUCCUGAUGACUUGUGGAUAGGGGUGAAAGGCCAAUCAAACAUCGUGAUAGCUGGUUCUCUCCGAAAUAUAUUGAGGUAUAGCGUCAUGUAGUAACACUAAGGGGUAGAGCACUGAAUGGGCUAGGGCAUACACCAAUGUACCAACCCCUAUCAAACUCCGAAUACUUAGUGUGUAAUCAUGGCAGUCAGGCGGCGAGUGAUAAAAUCCGUCGUCAAGAGGGGAACAACCCAGACUAACAGCUAAGGUCCCUAAAUCUCAUUUAAGUGGAAAACGAUGUGAAGUUACUUUAACAACCAGGAGGUUGGCUUAGAAGCAGCCAUCCUUUAAAGAAAGCGUAAUAGCUCACUGGUCUAGUGAUUUCGCGCGGAAAAUAUAACGGGGCUAAAAUGAGUACCGAAGCUUUAGA
rnacentral:rRNA from 1 species